rnacentral:rRNA from 1 species
UACGGAAGGUCCGGGCGUUAUCCGGAUUUAUUGGGUUUAAAGGGAGCGUAGGCCGGAGAUUAAGCGUGUUGUGAAAUGUAGAUGCUCAACAUCUGAACUGCAGCGCGAACUGGUUUCCUUGAGUACGCACAAAGUGGGCGGAAUUCGUGGUGUAGCGGUGAAAUGCUUAGAUAUCACGAAGAACUCCGAUUGCGAAGGCAGCUCACUGGAGCGCAACUGACGCUGAAGCUCGAAAGUGCGGGUAUCGAACAGGAUUAGAAACCCGUGGCUGACUGACU